rnacentral:lncRNA from 1 species
UGUUUACAAACUCCAUUCUUGAGUAAUCAACCAUGGAAGAAUUCUGAACCGUCGCAUAUGGUCGCCGCAAACCCCCACUCUUCGACAUUACUGCACACCACCGCUCACCGUCGUGCUGCACAUAACCCCCUUUCGCCGCCAUCGCCGCCGGUGCACACUACUGGCCCUCUGCCGUUGUUGAACAUAGCAAACUAUUUUCGUUGAGAAGAUGAAAGAGAAAAGUUGGAGAGAGGGGAGAUGGAGAAGAAGAGAAGAAGUUGAAGAGAGCAUGUUUUUAGGAAGAGGUAGAUAACAGGACAAUUUGUUCAGGCGAGAUUUUUGGAAGAUU